rnacentral:rRNA from 1 species
GACGAACGCUGGCGGCGCGCUUAACACAUGCAAGUCGAACGGAAAGGCCUGCUUUCCCUUGUGGAUUGCGGGUACUCGAGUGGCGAACGGGUGAGUAACACGUGAGUGAUCUGCCCCCAACUUGGGUAUAAGCCUGGGAAACUGGGUCUAAUUCCCGAUAGGACUGCAGGGUGGUGCCUGUGGUGGAAAACGAUUUUCUAGUGGUUGGGGAUGAGCUCGCGGCCUAUCAGCUUGUUGGUGGGGUAAUGGCCUACCAAGGCGGCGACGGGUAGCCGGCCUGAGAGGUUGGACGGCCACAUUAGGAAUGAGAUACGGCCCAGACUCCUACGGGAGGCAGCAGUGGGGAAUAUUGCACAAUGGGCGGAAGCCUGAUGCAGCGACGCCGCGUGGGGGAUGACGGCCUUCGGGUUGUAAACUCCUUUCGACCGCGAGGAAGCCACCUGGUUGGAAGGGUGGUGACGGUAGUGGUAGAAGAAGCACCGGCUAACUACGUG